UACGUAGGGGGCUAGCGUUGUCCGGAAUCAUUGGGCGUAAAGCGCGCGUAGGCGGCCCGGUAAGUCCGUUGUGAAAGUCAAAGGCUCAACCUUUGAAAGCCGAUGGAUACUGCCGGGCUAGAGUCCGGAAGAGGCGAGUGGAAUUCCUGGUGUAGCGGUGGAAUGCGCAGAUAUCAGGAGGAACACCGAUAGCGAAGGCAGCUCGCUGGGACGGUACUGACGCUAAGGCGCGAAAGCGUGGGGAGCAAACAGG
rnacentral:rRNA from 1 species